UGGGGAAUUUUCCGCAAUGGGCGAAAGCCUGACGGAGCAAUACCGCGUGAGGGAGGAAGGCUCUUGGGUUGUAAACCUCUUUUCUCAGGGAAGAAUCCUGACGGUACCUGAGGAAUCAGCAUCGGCUAACUCCGUGCCAGCAGCCGCGGUAAUACGUAGGGGGCGAGCGUUGUCCGGAAUUAUUGGGCGUAAAGAGCGUGUAGGCGGCUUGGUAAGUCUGCUGUGAAACCUUGGGGCUCAACCCCAAGCGUGCAGUGGAUACUGUCAAGCUAGAGGAUGGUAGAGGCCAGUGGAAUUCCCAGUGUAGCGGUGAAAUGCGCAGAUAUUGGGAGGAACACCAGUAGCGAAGGCGGCUGGCUGGGCCAUUCCUGACGCUGAGACGCGAAAGCUAGGGGAGCGAACAGGAUUAGAUACCCGUGUAGUCC
rnacentral:rRNA from 1 species